GACGUAGGGCGCGAGCGUUGUCCGGAUUUAUUGGGCGUAAAGAGCUCGUAGGCGGCUUGUCGCGUCGACUGUGAAAACCCGCGGCUCAACCGUGUGGCGUGCAGUUGAUACGGGCAGGCUAGAGUUCGGUAGGGGAGACUGGAAUUCCUGGUGUAGCGGUGAAAUCCGUUGAUAUCUAGGGGAACACCGAAAGCGAAGGCACUGUACUGGCGCAUUCCUGACACUGAAACACGAAAGCGUGGGUAGCGAACGGG
rnacentral:rRNA from 1 species